rnacentral:rRNA from 1 species
CCUUAGUAACUGCGAGUGAAGCGGCAAAAGCUCAAAUUUGAAAUCUGGCGUCUUCGGCGUCCGAGUUGUAAUUUGGAGGGAUAUCUUCGGGGUUGGCGCCGUCCUAAGUUCCUUGGAACAGGACGUCAUAGAGGGUGAGAAUCCCGUGCCUGGAUGGCUGCCCAACUCCAUGUGAAGUGUCUCCGACGAGUCGAGUUGUUUGGGAAUGCAGCUCAAAAUGGGUGGUAAAUUUCAUCUAAAGCUAAAUAUUGGCGAGAGACCGAUAGCGCACAAGUAGAGUGAUCGAAAGAUGAAAAGCACUUUGAAAAGAGAGUUAAAAAGUACGUGAAAUUGUUGAAAGGGAAGCGCUUGCGACCAGACUCGAUCUUUGGUGAUCAGCCGGGCUUCGGUCCGGUGCCCUCGCCAUUGAUUGGGCCAGCAUCGGUUCCGACGGCGGGACAAAAGGGGGAGGAAUGUGGCUCCCUUCGGGGAGUGUUAUAGCCUCCCUCACAAUGCCGCCAGUUGGGACCGAGGACCGCGCUUCGGCUAGGAUGCUGGCAUAAUGGUCUUAAGCGACCCGUCUUGAAACACGGACCAAGGAGUCUAACAUCUAUGCGAGUGUUCGGGUGGAAAACCCUUGCGCGUAAUGAAAGUGAACGGAGGUGUGAACCCUUCACGGGGUGCAACAUCGACCGGUCCUGAUGUCUUCGGAAGGAUCUGAGUAAGAGCAUAGCUGUUGGGACCCGAAAGAUGGUGAACUAUGCCUGAAUAGGGUGAAGCCAGAGGAAACUCUGGUGGAGGCUCGCAGCGGUUCUGACGUGCAA